GGGUGAAGGUGCAGGUGGUUGUUAGAGAACAACAUGCACUGAACAUGACCAACACGAGAACCACAUGGAUGUCUACUUACUCGUCAGUGAUCUUCUCGAUGUUGCAGUGAUGUGAAUGAUCCUUUGACCUACGGUGUCAUUGGCUAUUCGCAGCGAAGCUAUUAGGUUUGACUACACGUUCCCUUGGUCCCUAGUCAUUUGGGUCCUUACUGUGUAUGUUGGCUUCAGUAGGUUCAGAUUCGCUGUUUGGAGUAAGAUGCACCUAGAUGGGAUCUAUCGAUCUUGGUAGAAAAGG
rnacentral:lncRNA from 1 species